AAACAAUCUCCUUCCUCCUCCGAGACGACUGUACUCUAACAUGUCAAUUAGAUGUCUAUAAUGGAGAGAGAGAGAGAGAGACAAUCAACUCAUGACUUGUUUGACAAUGUAAAUCACAAAUAGUUGGCAUAUUAAUUCACUAAUAUGCCACUUUUAGUAACCACACCAUUCAACUAUAAACAAAUACAAUCAAAUUAACAAUUCACUAUUGCAUUUUAUAAUGGAAAAAGAGGGAAUUGUUGCACCAGAAAUUGCACCUUACUAUACAUAGCAUUCAAUCAUUAAUUAUAGCCCAACUAAGUCAUUUCAUAAUUCACCAUUGCAUUUGUUUACAAAAAACACAAUUCAUCUUUCAAACAUUUCUGUGCUCAAAAAAAUCAAUUAGUCAAGUAAAAUUCCUUCACUUUUUUGUCAGUAACCAGAAAGUUCAAUUCCUCAAACGUUAGAACCUCAUAAAACAACAAAAAUUUCCUCUUUUUCUCGUAUGCUUAUUAAUAAACCUAAAUAAUAACAGCAGUAAAGAUCGCAGAACACUAAAUUAACGAAAUCUUUGGAAACUUACUUGUGAUUUCGCAGGAAGUGGAAUCAGGUGAAGGAGGAUACAAGAUAAGAGGGGAUUUAGCGGCUGAACUCAUAGUGGAGGAUUGAUCAUGAUUAUCAUCCUUGUCGUCGUCUAC
rnacentral:misc_RNA from 1 species